AGUUGCACUGAUCAGUCGGGGCUGAUGUUGCAGUGGCAGCAGCACCUCGAUCCGACCCAACCUGCGGACACACGAUGUGCACAGGGGCCAUCUGACUCAACCCUCAGCCCUCCUGGAAGCAUGAGCUCAGGUUCUGUAGCAUCAGAUUAAAGGGCUUUAAUGUGGCAAGCGUUACUAACGUUGUCUCUACACUUCGUAAUGUCAACAGUGUGUGGGAUUAGAUCAGUAGCAUUCUGAGAGUACUGCUCUUCCACUGGUGCAUCUUGGAUGACGAAGCAGCUGUAAAAUCACUUAUUUGUUGUUCAGUUACUUUAGUUUUUCAGUGAGGAAUCCUUGGGAGAACAGACGUAUACGAUAAUACUGAAUUAUCACCAAUCCUGGCUUCUGUUCUGUCGCUCAACAACAUUGUAUAUUGUUUUGAAUCUGUAUUAAUCCCCCCUUUCUUAUUUCUGUCCCGACUUAAUGUAAGUCUAGCAUCUGGAGGUGAGGGGAUUCUGUGCUGUGGCUCCUGUCCCCCCCUCCUUCAAGCAGGACCAUCAUCUCUCUGACCCGGAGUCCAGCUCCUUCAUUCCUCAAGCCUGAAGAUGGGAGAAUUCAAGGAUUUUGGUUAAGCAGGAUGUUCAAGCCAUUGUGAACAUGAUGAACAAAACGCUUCUUGCCAGCAAACAUUUAGCCUUUAUAAUGGGUGGAAGAACUCCAACCUGAGAGCCGGCAGCCUCACGCCCAGAAAGUCCUGCCAGCCCCACAGUCGCAGCCACUGGUACAGCUGCAGGUCACAGCCAGAGUUCAGCCACCUGCUGCACAUAUGGCCCGUCCUUGAUCCCCGAGCUGCUGCAGGACAGCCUGUAUUGUCCCUACCCGAUGCCGGCUGUGUCUGCUCCCUUCUGCCCAUCAUGACCCAAAUUCUGCCUCUCUAACACCAGCAUGCAGGUUCUUGCACAGAAGGACAAGAUGUCGCAUCAAAACAUCGUGACAACAGUGCUGCAGCUGCACAUCAUGUGCAACGAACAUUGAUGACUGAUUGGUACCUUAACAGACAACUUAAAGCUCUACAGCUGUAAUGUGGGCUUACUGCUGGUGGGCAACACAGAAGUCUUAUUGUCAUCGCCACAACAAACCUGGUCCAGACACACACCACAGUAAAUAUGCAGUGUCUAACUGUUCAAUAAUCCUUUUGAGUCGGAGAAGUCACGUACAUGACUAAUGGCUUUUGCUGAGGCUGUAUUGCAGAGGUGACUGGAAUGGGUUGAGUGUCUGUAUUCCUCUGCAGGGAUUACAGUUUUUGUGAUUGCCUUGCAUCAUCAGAGGCCACAGCUCAUCUUAAAUAUCUGCAUGUUCUGGGUUUGGUUUUUUUUGUUGUUUUUUCCAGCCUGCACUGGGUCUCAGGCAUGAUGUGUAUGCAUUCGUUAAAAUUGGGGCUGGGCACUGGCAUUAAACUCAUCUUGACAGUCGUAUACCUGAGUAGUAAUAAUAACGGCACUAAUAUAUUUUAACACCUGUGCUAAGAUUCUUUAAGGUGGUCUGAGAAAAUCAUCAAGAUGAACAUUAACAAGAUCUUGAUGGUCACCCACAAGAAAUCACUACACACAUUUCCUAUAUGGUUGGUGAAAGUAUUACAUUUACAUUGGUACUUGCACCAGUACUGACCUUAUUAAACAGAAUUGCUAUCAGGCACAUGUGACCGAGUUCUGCCCCCUUACCGUUUUUGGUCCCUUGAUCUUCAUAUACUAAAUGUGUAUUCUUCAACACCGGAUAUUAAAGAGUCUGUAAACCUUUUAAAACAUGUUUGUUUUUGUCUUUUCACUAAAUACAUUUUCAA